rnacentral:RNase_P_RNA from 1 species
GUAAGCUGGACAGCCGCGCAGGCAGGCCGAAAGGCCGUCUGUGAGGAAAGUCCGGGCUCCACAGGGCAGGAAUAACGGGUAACACCCGCCGGGGGCGACCCUAGGAAAAGUGCAACAGAGAUAAACCGCCCCGGCGGCGCUUGCGCCGCCGGGGUAAGGGUGGAAAGGCGGAGGUAAGAGCCCGCCCGAUGGCUGGAAACCGUCCAUCGCUGUAAACUCUAUUCGGAGCAACACCGUGGGAGGACAAAUGGCUUGCCCGGCCGUCCUCAGGAGGUGGCUGGACCGCGCCGGCAACAGCGCGGCUAGAUAGAUGGCUGUCUUAAAUGACAGAACCCGGCUUACAGGCUUGCUUG